rnacentral:rRNA from 1 species
AUUGAACGCUGGCGGCAGGCCUAACACAUGCAAGUCGAACGAGUGGCGGACGGGUGAGUAAUGUCUGGGAAACUGCCUGAUGGAGGGGGAUAACUUCUGGAAACGGUAGCUAAUACCGCAUACCAUCAGAUGUGCCCAGAUGGGAUUAGCUAGGGGGUGGGGUAACGGCUCACCAAGGCGACGAUCCCUAGCGGGUCUGAGAGGAUGACCGACCACACUGGAACGGGACAACGGUCCAGACUCCUACGGGAGGCAGCAGUGGGGAAUAUUGCAAAAUGGACGCAAUCCUGAUGCAGCCAUGCCGCGUGUAUGAAGAAGGCCUUCGGGUUGUAAAGUACUUUCAGCGGGGAGGCGUUACCCGCAGAAGAAGCACCGGCUAACUCCGUGCCAGCAGCCGCGGUAAUAC